rnacentral:misc_RNA from 1 species
GAAAUGCGAUAAGUAAUGUGAAUUGCAUAAUUCAGUGAAUCAUCGAAUCUUUGAACGCACCUUGCGCUCCUUGGUAUUCCUUGGAGCAUGCCUGUUUGAGUAUCAUGAAAUCUUCAAAGUAAAUCUUUUGUUAACUCAAUUGGUUUCUACUUUGGUAUUGGAGGUCUUUGCAGCUUCACACCUGCUCCUCUUUGUUCAUUAGCUGGAUCUCAGUGUUAUGCUUGGUUCCACUCGGCGUGAUAAGUUAUCUAUCGCUGAGGACACUGUAAAAGGUGGCCAAGGUAAAUGCAGAUGAACCGCUUCUAAUAGUCCAUUGACUUGGACAAUACUUUUAUGAUCUGAUCUCAAAUCAGGUAGGACUACCCGCUGAACUUAAGC